GCGCUGUCACUUCCGGCGGCCGCGGCGUGCACUGUCGGUCGGCGGCUAAGGAGGGGAGGCACCUGCAUCUGGGGCGCGGCGAAUCCUCGCGUGCGCCAGGCCGCCUGGGGUAGUCGCCGAGACUGCGCCGGCCAGCGGGGCCGAAACCUAAUCAGGAGCUGAGCUUUGAUGGCGGCUUCUGGAGGGACAAAGAAGGCGCAGAGCGGUGGGAGGAGGCUGCGAGAACCUAGCUCCCGCCCCAGCCGACGUGCGAGACAAAGGCCCCGGCGCGGGGCUCUUCGGAAGGCCGGGAGGUUCCUGUGACAAUGCGAGUCUGCGCCCCACGCUCCCGCACCGUGAUGCCGAGGCCAAAUGGCUAGAGUGGGCCCAGGCAUCAGCAUUUCUGUUUGGCAGCCGGGCAGUUGUGGUGCACGUUUUGAGGAACUACUAAAGCCUGCCUGUGAUGAAAAAGGCAAAAGCUGACUUCACCAAAAUUACUCCCAGGGAGACUUCUGCAUUUGGCUGGAAGGACAUUUGAGUAAACCGCUGAGGCUGGUGGUUGAAACAUAAUCCUCUAAGGGAGAUCGGUUCCGAUACCCUGAGUUAGGGACGCUUGCCUGGGCAGAGCUAAGGGGAGAAUGAUCAAAAGCCAAGCUCUGUCCCCGUCAGCACGUCACCCUCCCUCACUGUAAUCCCUGACUGUUUUCUCUAAAUGAAGAAUUAUUUAGAGAAUAUAAAUUAGAAGGGCCGCCACGUCAGAAUUGCCUGAGUGGGAGCAGUCUUUCCAGCCUCGAAAAAUGUUUAAACAAUAUGCAGAUGACCUAGCACAAAUAAAGAAUGCUAGCAACCGCUGUUAUGUGUGAGCGGUGGAAUUGGGAGGGCUCUUCCCCCAAUCUUCAUCAAACAGAGUAAGGUUUAGAAUAAAAAUAAUGAAAUACAGUCUUUCAAAAAGAGCAGCGCUUGACUAAUGUUACUGAUGUCACUCAUGUUACUCAAGGGAGGAAAGAACUCAAACUCUACAUAAUAAUACCCACUGAUUUCAAGGGCUGGCACGGAGAAUUAAGCAGACCGCCAUUCUUUAUAUUUGUUUUUUUGUUGUUGUUUGCUUAUGAUUUUUUUCUUUCUUUUUUUUUUUUUUUUUUUGAGAAGGGGUCUCGCACUGUCACCCAGGCAGGAAUGCAGUGGCGCGAUAAUGGCUCACUGCAAUCUCACUAUAUUGACCAGUAUGAUUUUCAACUCCUGUCUUUAAGCGAUCCUCACGCUUCGGCCUCCCAAAGUGCUGGGGUUACAGACAUGUGCCACUAUGCCCUGCCUAAAUAUGUUUAUAUAUACUACCGCCAAAGAAACAAUUUGAAGACGAUCUUUCCCCAGCCCCUCUCCUUCUGAUCCAACUCCAAGAGCUCACCCUCCCUGUAAGACCUGUAGCAGAGCACGUAUUGGCCUGCUGAUACUAGGGGCAAAGACCGGGCCGAUCAGAUGUUACAUGGCAUAAGGGCGAAGGAUUCUGAAAGAAAGACUGAGACUUGCUGGAGGAAGUACUAGUAGUGCCAAGGGCAGGAACUCAACUGUUAGGCAGAAGGGAGGAAUGUACUGUUGAUAUGGACAGACUCCAAGAAGGGGAGGGACUGCUGGGACUACUAGAACGAGAAUGCCUCUGCCCCUAUGGCUCAGCUCUGCAACUCUCUCUGCACAUUGGCUUCAUGCUGUUAGACCAGCUUCCUCCAUAUGUCUGGAAACAAGGCCACUGACAGCUCCCAACAUUUCAUCUUCUGCCUCAUCAUCAGACAGGCGAGGUACACAGAAGAAAGGCCAUGUGAGGACACAGCGAGAAGCAAGUAUCUGCAAGUCAAGAAGAAAGGCCUCAACAGACACCAGCCCUGCCAGCACCUUGAUCUUGGACUUCUGGCCUCCAGAACUGUGAAAGAAUAAAAUUCUGUUGUUUAAGCCACC
rnacentral:lncRNA from 1 species